UACGGAGGAUGCGAGCGUUAUCCGGAUUUAUUGGGUUUAAAGGGUGCGUAGGCGGGCUUUUAAGUCAGCGGUAAAAAUUCGGGGCUCAACCCCGUCCGGCCGUUGAAACUGGGGGUCUUGAGUGGGCGAGAAGAAGGCGGAAUGCGUGGUAUAGCGGUGAAAUGCAUAGAUAUCACGCAGAACCCCGAUUGCGAAGGCAGCCUUCCGGCGCCCUACUGACGCUGAGGCACGAAAGUGCGGGGAUCGAACAGG
rnacentral:rRNA from 1 species